GUCACAUCCUGUGAAUGCGGGCCAAUGGCGGCACAGGAAGCGAUCACAGAAAGACUUGUCCGUGUGUGAUGAAUAAAUACGCCGUCAUUCAUAUCGCAUCUCAGAAAUAUAUAUAUUGUUUUGAAUGUGCAUUUACCUGUUGCAGGGAUAAUCGCAGUCCCGUUCCCAGGGUAAUAAGGACUCGACGCUGACGCAGAAACAGCAGUGAAGCGUCGACAUGUUUCGCGGUACUAGGCCGCACAGAGGCGGUUAUCGCCAUCCCCCGCCGUCUCGUGGUUUCGGGCCCCGUCCUGGACCGGGCCAUCCCCCGGACCGAGACCCUUACCGUCGGCCGUCCCCGAGGAGAAGAUACUCUCCGCCGGAUCCAGCAGAUGAAUACAGAGGCGGACGACCGCAGAGAGGCUAUGGGAGGUACAGCCCAUCUCCUCCUCGUGGUGGUGGUCUCCCUGUUGAUCACAGUCUGGUCAUAACUGUGGGCAAUGAGCUGAACAGUCCCUCAAGCUUUAAAGGAACAGAUGCUCCCUAUGUCCGGGAUUAUGCUGCUGGAGACUCCCAGUAUAAAAAGUCCUAUUACUCUCCACGGAGGUCGAGCUAUGAUGAACAUGGUGAUAAGGGUUCAAAGAGGCGCAGUGUUAGUCGUGGCCGGAGCAGAGGACGGAGUCGCAGUCCCGGCUAUGGACGCAGCAAAAGCCGACCACGCAGCCGGAGCAGGAGUCGAAGCUAUAGUCGUGGAAGAAGUCGUGGUAGAAGUCCUGAACGUGCGAAAAGCCGAGGCCGAAGCAAGAGCAGACCUCGCGGCAGGAGCUACAGCAGAAGCAGAAGUCGGAGCAGAAGUCGGAGUCGGGAUAAAAGUAGGGCCAGGAGCAGGGCGAGGAGCAAGAGUCGGCCACGCAGCCGCAGCAGAGAAAGAAGCCGUAGCCGGGGGAGAAGCAGAGGGAGAAGCCGUGCUCGGAGCCGGAGCAGUAGCAGUAGCAGCAGUGGGUCCAGCAGGAGUCGCCACAGCAGUGUCAGCCGGAGAAGCAAAUCGGGUAAAUUUCAGAGUGAGCAGGAGGACUUCAGUGAGCUGGAGAAAGCUCGACGACGUAAGGAGAUUCAGGAUAUGCUUAUAAAGCCCGCAAAGUCCAUUUUGAAGAAAAGAGUGGAUUCCUCCGAGACUGACUCUCCAAUGCUAAUGCAGAUUAGCGAUUCCCCUCGAGGCAAUUCAGAUGGGGGUCUAUCACAUGAGGCUGAACAGCUUCUCUGUGCACUUUCCAAAACCAUGGAUCCAAGCGUAUUGUCUUCCAUGCUGGGCAAAAGCUCUGACGGGAAUGUUCUGGAGGAGCUAAUUAGCAAGAUCCAUCCAUCCCGAGAGGAUCUAGGUGAUUUGUUCCUCGCUCGCGAGAAGGGAAGGCAGACCUCAGACCUCACAGAGUUCCUUGGAAUGAUAGCCGAGGUAGCCCAACAACACAAUCCAAAAAAGAGUCUUACAGAAAUUGAAGACGAGGAGAAGUUUCUCUACGGAGAUGAAUUGGAGGCGGAUGAGGUGACACCGGCUAAGGAGAUUGCAACCGAUUCCAGCUAUCCAGAUACAAGAGAGCAUGGCACUGCACCUUACAGUUUUACCCGUACUGUAGAAAAUGUGCCAAGCCGUUCUUCUGCCACACCUGAGGUGCAUGCUGAGGAAGAACCUCAUGAUUUCCCACCUGGAGUCGGGCCGCAAGAUGUCACGGUGAGGAGUGAGGUUGAGGAAUAUGAGAAGAUACAAGAUUUGCUGAAAACAAUUGGCCUGGAUCUCGGUGUGGCCGAAAUAAGCAAGAUGGCUGCAAGGACACAAGAACGCCUCCACGGCAGCGUCCCUGCAAAAAAGACACCUGUUCGUCGGCAGUCAGAUAGAAAGCACCGGAGUCGAAGCAGAAGCUCCAGCAGCAGUAGUGGAAGCGGCAGCAGAAGCUCCAGUCGAAGUCAAAGCGAAAGUCGGAGCAGAAGUAGAAGCCGAAGCCGAAGUGGCAGCCUAAAUCACACUUCAAGUCGCAGCAAGAAGAAGUCUGUCUCUCCUGAAAAAGCUUCUCCGCAUGUACAUAGCCAGAGCAAAAAAGACACUCAGCCUGCUGUCCCAGAAAGCAACUGGCCUACAACCCCCACUCCUGCACAGAGUUAUCCUUCCCGACCUGGCGUUUUGCCGCAUCCCCCUUACCCAGGACCUCCCCCACGUGAGAUAAUGCCUCCUGACUACCGUACACAUGGUUAUGGUGCAUAUGGUAAUUACAUUCCCUAUAUGCCCCCGGGAUGGCCAAUGUACCCACCCACAGGUAUGCCAGUACCUCCUCCAAGUCAAAUCGACCCCUACAGCCUCCCUAACAUGGAGCGACCUUUUCUUAAAACGAUUAAAAAUGUGACAAGUGAGAGUAAAGCUGACAAUACUAAAAAAGCACCUUCUAAAUUGGAUGCUGUGGCCUCUAAAGCGAUCACCACUGACCACUUUCAGAGGAAAGAAAUGGAGGACAAAAACACAGCAAGCCAGAAACAAAAGGUCACAGAAGAGCUUGAAAAGCUAAGAAUGGAAAGAGAUGUUCGACAAAAGAGGAAAGAAAAUCUCUUAAAGGAUGUGGAGACAUUGAGAAAGCAACAAGGGGAGCUUCUUCGUAAGAAACGAAGGGAGAAGGAUGGACACAAGGACCCUCUGCUGGUAGAGCUCGGUCGUCUCCAGGAGGAUGCAAUGGCGCAAAUCUCUAAAUUGCGUUCUGAACAGAAAGAGGCAGAUCAAAAACACGAAGAGCUGGUUAAAGUGGCGCUCAUUCUCGGUAUAGACAAAGAGUGGAAGAUCUCUUCGGCCCAUAGUCAGCAGCAGAGUAAAGAUUCGGCCAGAAGCCCGGAGAAGUCAGUGGCCAAAACCAACACCUCGUACAAUAAGGUCGCCUCCUUAAAAUCAAGAGCCUCACCCGAAAAGCUGAAGGAGUCUCCUCUGUCGAGCAGCCAUUCCCUGGACACUGCUGCCGAGCAGUUCGAGUACUAUGAUGCGGGAAAUCACUGGUGUAAAAACUGCAAUGUUACCGGUGGUUCAAUGUUUGAUUAUUUCAUGCAUUUGCACAGCAAAACACAUAGGAAGACUCUAGAUCCGUAUGACAGACCUUGGGCAAAAACAGAGAGUGAAAAGAAAGGACCAGCUGGAAAGAAGACUUCAAAGCCAGCCAAAGGCUCUGAGUUCUUGGUCCCUGUUAGGGGAUUCUUCUGCCAGUUAUGUGAAGAGUUUUUUGGGGAUCCCAUUUGUGCCGAAUCCCACGUCACCUGCCAUACUCACAAUGAGAAAUACAAGGCAAAAUUGUAUGAAAAUCCCCUCUAUGAGCAAAGGAGGAAACUUGACCGUCAGGCUGGCUUAGAAAGCCAAAAGAGUUCAGUGCUCAAACGAAAACAUGAAGAUGAUGAUCAGGACGAUGUAAAAAAGUCAAAAUACAACAAAGAAGGAAAAUUGUCUAGUAAUGCAAUGGACACAAAACCACAAUACAGCAAGGAGGAGGACCACAGGGAUAUCAAAGAAAAUGACAGUAAACACAAGGACAAAUACAAAAAGGAUGAGUAUGAUAAGCUGAAAUAUAAGGAGGAGGAGGAUGAGAGAGCCAGAAUAAAGAAGGAAGAGGAAGAGAAAUCUAGGUACAAAAAAGAUGAUGAUGAGCGAAACAGGUACAAGAAAGAAGAGGAAUGCUCUCGUAGGUACAGAAAGAGGGAAGGGGAGAGUUCCAGGUAUGAAGAGGAUCAUUACAGAAACAGAGAUGAUGAUGAUGAUGAAUACCAUAGAUACAAGGAUGAUGAUGACAGAUACAGAUAUAGAAAAGAUGACGAUAGGGGCCGGUAUAGCAGGGAGGAUGAGAAGCCAAGAUAUGACAAAGAGGAGGAUAAAAGAUACAAAUACACUCGAGAGGUAGAGGAGAAGUCAAAAUACAAAGGGGAGAACUGGGGGAAGUGGCCUAAAUCAAAGUGGGACGAGGACCAAGAGAGUGGCGGCAAGUUUGAUAAAAAGGACGAUAAAACACCUUAUCAGAAGGGCAAGGCUGGUCUUUUCAGAGAUGACAAGGCAAGCGCAGGAAUGUCCAAUGUUAAAGAUGUCAAGACAGAACCAGAGAAACCAAUUGAGCCUCCUAAAAUUUUAUGUGGCCCAAGUCCUGCCUUGCUGGCUAAACUUCGCAAAAAGAACGAGGAGGCUGCUGGUCGGCCUGGCUUUGGAAAGUUUAGUCGUAAAAAGCCUCAAAAGACUGCACUGGAGAAGGAGGCAGAGAGGAUGGCAGCACAGUUCUUGAAGGAAGAUGAAGUAGAAAAGGAGGAGGAAGAGCUUGAUCCUUUUUCCAAAUCUGUAGCUGCUGCAAAAUCAAUUGCAAUCAAGUUGACAGGAAAGGCCAUGAUUCCCCCCUCAGGUGAAUGGCUGGCAUUCAACGAAAAUAAAAGUAAUACCAAUUUACCUCCUCCGCUAUCUCCAAUGGUUAUUAGGAAGUCUUUUUCAGGUGUGCCGAAUAAACCAACACCACCUGCUUUAAGUGACAAAUUUCCUGCCCCUUUAACAGGAACGCAAAAGGGCACAGCUUUGUCAGCAGACCUUAUUUCCAAGGCAUUUAGUGGAGAAGAGGUACAGUUAAAACAGGCAAAGCUUCUUGAGAGCCCUGUAGAGAUCUUCAACAAACCUGCUCCACCUCCAUUUCCCACUCCGUCUCCCAUUUCAUCUUCUGCUCCGUCUCCCGCUCCACCUUCCGCUCCGUCUCCUGCUCCAUCUUCUGCCCCACUUCCCUCUCUGUCUCCUGCUCCAUCUUCUGCUCAACUUCCCGCUCCUGCUUCAUCUUCCGCUCUGUCUUCCACUCAAUCUUCUGCUCCGUCUCCCGCUCCACCUCUCGUUCCAUCUUCGACUCCACCUCCCAUUCUAUCUCCCGCUCCAACUCUCACUGCAGCCCCAGAAAUUGUAAAACCCUCCCAGUUGAAACCCGUCCUUCAGCCUGAACGUGUUGUCACUCUCGAGUCUGAUGUCGCUGCUCCUGGAGUGCCUGAGCAGGAGCGGAAGCAAACUUUAGUCCUUCGUCCUCCUCCUCAGCAUCCAUCUAAUGUAAGAGCCCAGCCCCCCAAAAUGGUGAAGCCAAAGACACUUGCAGCGGGAAAAGCAAAAGAUUUGUUUGACAUUUUCUACAGUGGAGGCACCACUGCUAAAACCUCUGUUAGUGCCCUAGUUGUCAACAAACAAGACCCUGGAUUUGCACAUUCGAACAGUGGCUCAACCUGUAAAAACUCAAACAAUAAAGACAAAAAAGCUUGUGAUAUUUUCCAGGGCAAAGUACUCCCUUCUAAUGGGCACUCGCAAGUUACAGCAAAUGAAGAAUCUCUAAAGAACAAGGAGGCAAAUGUUGCUGAAAGAAAAGAUGAUAAUGAGGACUCAAAGAUUGCUCAAAACAAGGAAUCUUCCAAAAAUGAAGACUUAAAUGUUGUAAAGAGUGAAGAAUCUACCAAUAAUGAGUACUCAGAAGUUGCCCAGAGUAAAGAACCUCUCAAUGAGGACUUAGACAUAGAGAGCAAAGAAUCUUCCAAGAACGAAGAUCCUAAGGUUACACAAAGUAAAGAAUCGUUCAACGAAGAGGAUUCAGAAGUGGCCCUGAGUAAAGAUUCUUCCAAGAGUAAACAUUUAAAGUUUUCACCGUGUGAAAAUUCUUCAGUGAAUGAGGAUUCAGAAGUUGCCCAAAAUGAAGAAGGCCUCAGUAAUGAGGACUCAGAAAUGGCUCAGAGUGACGAAUCUCCCAAAAACGAGGACUUAUCGAUUUCACAGAGUGAAGAUUCUCCCACAAAUGAGAACUCCGAAGUCGCCCAAAGUGAAGAACCCCUCAGCAAUGAGGAUUCAGAAGUGCUUCAGAGUGACGAAUCCCCCCCAAAUGUGGAAUUAAAGGUUUCAGAGAGUGAAGAUUCUCCUAUGAAUGAGGAUUCAGAAAUUGCCCAAAGUGAAGAACCCCUCAGCAAUGAGGAUUCAGAAGUGGUUCAGAGUGAUGAAUCUCCCCAAAAUGUUGAGUUAAAGGUUUCAGAGAGUGAAGAUUCUCCAGUGAAUGAGGACUCAGAAGUUGUGCAAAGUGAAACCCUUCACAAGGAGGACACCGAAGUGUCUCAGAGUGAAGAAUCUCCCAAGAACCAAGACUUAAAUUCUUCAGAGAGUGAAAAUUCUCCAGUGAAUGAGGACUCAGAAGUUCCCCAAAGUGAAACCCUUAACAAAGAGGACACAGAAAUGGCUCAGAGUGAAGAAUCUCCCAAGAACCAAGACUUAAAUGCUUCAGAGAGUGAAGAUUCUCAGGUGAAUGAGGACUCAGAAAUUGCCCAAAGUGAUACCCCUAAUAACGGGGACACCGAAGUGUCUCAGAGUGAAGAAUCUCCCAAGAACGAAGACUUAAAUGCAUCAGAGAGUGAAAAUUCUCCAGUUAAUGAGGACUCCGAAGUUGCCCAAAGUGAUAUCCUUAACAACGAGGACACAGAAAUGGCUCAGAGUGAAGAACCUCCCAAGAAUAAAGACUUGAAUGCUUCAGAGAGGGAAAAUUCUCCUGUGAACGAGGACUUAGAAGUUGCCCAAAGUGAAACCCUUAACAACGAGGACACAGAAGUGGUUCAGGGUGAAGAAUCUCCUAAGAACGAAGACCCAAAUGUUGAACAAUCAUUUGAGGCAAUCUUAAAACCUGACAUUCAGAAUGAAAACGUUGAUGCAAAAGAAAAUCUUGAUGAUCAGCAAGCUUUUAAAUCUAUUGAUAUCACUAUGGGGGAUGUUACUGACAUGGAAGUUAACAGUGUGGACACACUACUGCAGACAAACAAUGAGGAACUGCCUCUGGAUUCAGAGGAGCCCAUGGCAUUCUCUCCUCUUCCUGGCUCUUUCACCGAACAACUGAACUUGGACACAUUUGAAUUCAGUUUUGAGCCUCUGUAAAGGACCUUCCAAGAGUAGGUUUAGGGAUGUACAUGUUAACUCUGAAUGUAAAUACGUGAUUUUGAAGUAUUCUUUGUAUUUGCUUGACCCAGUUAGAAUGUUUCAUGUCUAUUCUUAACCUUUUGGCAGGUAAUGCCAGUGAAAGCGUGGACUGAAAAGCAUUCAUUCUGAAGUGGGUGCCGGGGGAAGGAAUCCCUCAAAGAGAUUGAAAACUUUCCUCAACAGAAACCAUUCCUUUUUCCCCAAAGGUAACGUAAAGCAUAUAACGAAUAUGAUGUGUAUCAAACAUUUCAGACUCUUAAAACCAUUUGCUCUAUUCGUUUCACUUAAAUCACCGAAGAUAUUUUAAUGCAGGAGUCAGAAAGAUCCAGGCUCAGAGAAGACAAAUGGCGUGGCGUUCAUGCUUCAAGGACAUAUGCAUUCACAAUUCUGCCCAGAAAAUACCCGGCUUGGUCUCUGUAGUUUUUACUUACGCUGUACUAUGUGUUGGUAGCUUUUCUUUCAAGAUUUCUUUUUUCUUUUCUGAAAAACAAACAAAUGAAAAAAAAAAUGUGUUAAUGUUCAUAUUGCUACCAUACUGCAUUAGCAUCUACAGAUAGUUGGUGUAACUGCACAAGUUCUGUGCUAGCUCAAAUAAAUCACAGCAACCCUUUC